rnacentral:lncRNA from 13 species
GAAAAGGCGGAGAAAGUUAUUAGGGAAAUUGGUACUGUUGGCCUAUACAUUUUCAUAUUGUCUGGAGGAAAAACAAUACAGAGCAAUGUACCAAAAGAAACCAGUGUAACUUCCCAGGAAAGAACUGAUGAGAUCAGUUUUAAAUUGGUGAGACACAAGAAGAAAGGCUAUCUACUUGAAUAUUACAGUGAUACUGACUGUCAGAAUAACGUCAAAGGCUGGCGUGCAGUGGUGUGAUCUCAGCUCGCUGAAACCUUGGCCUCUCAGGUUCAAGCAAUAAUUACAAUCUUUAUUCAGAGAAAGUCUUACUCUCUGUGAUCAACAAACUGCCGAUGAGACUGGAAGUCUUGAAACAAAUCUUGUUCUACAUAAUAUAAGUGGCUGGAAAUUUGGAUUAAGUUGCAGAUAUGGAGCACUUUUUCAUGCAGAACCUGUACGAUGAUCCUGCAGUCCCUCCUUAUCUGCUGGGGAUAUGUCCCAAGUGCCCCAGUCGAUGCCUGAAACUGUGGAUAGUACCAAACCCAAGCACUGUGGUACCAUAGCAGUUGUUCUGAUCACCA